CUUGGAGUCUCGCAACCAGGAUGUGACCAAUCCUUUUUGAAUUACUCAUCACCUCAACUUAGAUAGCCAAUAGGAAAAAUUUAAUUUGUUACAAACUUUUCUCAGAUAUUUAUUGGUCAAUGAUACAUGGUGUCAGAUACGUGGGAUCUUCCUUGCCUCUUCCCAUGCCACCUGGAUUCAACUAAGAGUUGGGAAGAUGGUGGCAAGGUAGGUGGGAGGUGAACCCACUUGAGCAUGCACCCAACUGGAACACCUAGCUGAUCUUCUGAAGAGCAGAGUGAACAGCCCAUGGAAUCCC